rnacentral:lncRNA from 1 species
CCCCCAAAUUCCUAACCCUAGGUCAAAAUCCAACACAUUUUGUCAUGCAAAUUGACCUAAUUGCAUAAAUUAUUGAUACCCUAGAUGAGAUGAGAUGAGAUCAGAGAGUGUUGUGAUGCUUGUUCAUCGUGCGGUUUGAGGGAGAGAGAUUCUUUCUGUAAGCUGUUGUGAAUAGUGAUGAAGGUCAAGACACUUCGGUUACACUACUUUAUAUAUUCUCUCUCUAAAUAUAUACAUACAUACAAACUUCUUUUUAGAGUAUAAACUGCGAUUUUGGUCCCUGAGAUUUGGUUAUUUUACCACUUUAGUCUAAAUUUGAAACCUGUUACAUCUGGGUCUCUAUGGUUUCAUUUUUGUUGCCAUUUUGUUCCAAAAAUCAAAUCAGGGAUGGAGGAAUGGAAUGUGCAGCUUGUGAAACGUUCGGUGACGGUUUGUGGUGA